rnacentral:rRNA from 1 species
AUUGAACGCUGGCGGCAUGCCUUACACAUGCAAGUCGAACGGUAGAGGGGGCAACCCCUCGAGAGUGGCGAACGGGUGAGUAAAGCAUCGGAACGUGCCCAGUAGUGGGGGAUAGCCCGGCGAAAGCCGGAUUAAUACCGCAUGAGACCUGCGGGUGAAAGGGGGGGAUCGCAAGACCUCUCGCUAUUGGAGCGGCCGAUGUCAGAUUAGGUAGUUGGUGGGGGAAAGGCCUACCAAGCCGACGAUCUGGAGCUGGUCUGAGAGGACGACCACCCACACUGGGACUGAGACACGGCCCAGACUCCUACGGGAGGCAGCAGUGGGGAAUUUUGGACAAUGGGCGCAAGCCUGAUCCAGCCAUGCCGCGUGCGGGAAGAAGGCCUUCGGGUUGUAAACCGCUUUUGUCAGGGAAGAAAUCCUUUGAGCUAAUACCUCGGGGGGAUGACGGUACCUGAAAAAUAAGCACCGGCUAACUACGUGCCAGCCGCCGCCGUAAUAC